GUCUUACCAGCUUCGCCAGUGUCCCCCCACCACCCACAGACGCCUAGGCCCGGCCCCCAGAGCCCGGGGUGUGUGCACUCACCUGACAAUGCUGCAAUCUGUGGGUAACCAGAAGAGUGGCUCAGGGAAAGACCCCUGCUGUGAUGCAGUCAGCUGCAAAGCACAGUCCUGAAGCUUCUUCAUCUACUUCCCGACAGACUUCUCUGAGUGCAUCAGAGAACUGUGUACUAGAAAUGAAAUAGGUGGGGAGCUGUUACCAUAUGAAGACUGAGACUGCAUCGAGGUCCUAGGAACACAAACAUGGGAAUGAUGGUCAACGUGGGACACCGAAAGGCAGGACCAGUCAUUUCCAACAGGUCUGGGAUUAAAACCUGGCCUUGAACUAUGUAUGUACCAGAUACUCCUCAUGGUUAAUGACCUAGAGUCCUAACCAGGGAGGGACUGCAAAGCCGUCACAAAAAUCAUUGUUUUCUGGACAGUACAUAUAGAGUGUUUAACAUCUCAUUUGUGAGAGGAAAUAUAUACACACUUCUUUUCUUCUAUUGCUUCCUCCAUUUUCUUUCUUUCUCUUGUUUUUCAACUUAAAUAAGUCUUAAUAACCAGGAAAGAGAGGAAAGAACUGAGCGAGGCACACAGGCUGAUAAAGACCAGAAAAACACUAAACUCAGUUUGCAAACGAAGCCUUCCAUUUACAACCUUCCAAGCCAUUUGGGAUGCACAGAAAAUACCCGAAAGAGUCAAUCAUUGGAGGCAUUUGACAGCACACCCUAAUGUCCCACAAAUACCCCCAAGAUAUAAAUACACUUCCUCAGCUAAGAUGAGCUGUGAGAACACCCAGUGCAUGCCAAGAGCAGUUCUAUGUGGGAGAACCUUAGAAUCCAAGCCACUGUGGUGUUGAUUUUCUAUAAGUCUUG